AACGGAAAAGGGCCAAAAAUACCCUUUUCGAAUAAUCCAGGGUGUUUUUAGCCCUUUUCCGUAU